GGAAUUGAUUCCCCUUGCCGUAAUUAUUCAUCUGUCUCCAUUAUUUAUUGUUGUGGCGGUGGUGCUGGUGCUUUUGUGUUUGGUUUGAUUUUUAGGUGUAGAGUUGGGAUUCAGACAGAGGUGUGUUCCCCCCACCCCCCCAAAUAUCAAGUCUGGAUCUGUCUGGAGCUAAUGAGGGGAAAAAGUUGAUGAUUGAGAUGGCUGGAACUUCGAAUAUGAGCUCGGCUAAACUUCUGGGGCAGAGAGGGACACAAAACACGCUAUUAUUUUACACUUCUGAUGAUACUGACGCUCAGAGACGAGGACAGCUGGUAUAAAUGGGCUGGAGGGACGAAUACAUCAAAUGUGAAGACAAGUAGACUCUAAAAUCAAACUCAUUGGUGGAGACGUUUAGCAAGAUCUCACUUGUUGCGAGAUGUCAGACUGACACAAUUGCUUUUAUACAGACUGUCACAAGUGGAAAGUAAGGGAAACCCUUGUCUUUCUGUUUACAAUCUGAGCCUGUCAGCGGUGAAACAAAGCACUUGUAGUGGAUGCAGUUUGAUGAGGGUAAUUGAACGGUGAAAACUACGUUUUAGCUCGUUUUGCAGCUCUGCUAUCCCUCAAUACUGGACCAAUUUUAGAAAGUGUUCUCCUCAUCAGACAAGGUCCCACAAACAGGAGACUCAAGUUGAAAAAAAAGCACUUCCCCUUUAACACCUUGUUCUGCAUGACCAUAAUCUGUAACUUCUGAACCGUUAUCUCAGGGCGUCCCUAUCCUAUCAUUACCUAUCCUCUCUUAAUAAUAACUCUUUAAUUAAUGCAACAAGUCUUUGUUUGUAUUCAAAGGAUAGCUGGAAAUUAAUCAAAUUGAAACUUCUGCACAAAGUGGGUAAAACAGGCGACUCCUGUACUGGCUGUAAAAGGAUUAACAAUCAACAGAAGUGUCCAGACUUCAUUUUUGGCCAAAUCUGACAGCUCUAGUGUCUCUCAAAAUGUUUUUCUUGUGUUUGCUGACUCUGCAACUAAAAGGUGACCCAGGCAGCUGAUCUGUCACAGGGCACUACAUGCAGAUGAAGGAAUAUAGGGCUUAAAAAGAAAGUCCCAAAGAGUUAAAGUUGAGGUUAGAUGGUGAAAUCUAAAAAUAUGGCAUGCAGUUAAACUGAAAAAGUUUGAAUUGACAUUUUAAGCUCCCAUCUGCAGCCAGGUAUAGCUUAGCUUCAGACCCUAAAGUGUUGACUUUUAUCCACUCUUGUUAUUGUAAGUAACAAGUACUUAUACAACGUCAAUUAAAAAAUACCAAACUAACCCUUUAAAAUAGGGUUGGGCAAUAAUUUACCGAUACCAAAAUUUACAACAGUAACCAACAUCAUUUUGCCCAUGUCAAUAUAUUCAGGGUCAAAAAUAAAUAAAAAAAUAAAAGUUGGUUUUGGAUGUGUGUAGGAAGGCUAUGGUCUCAUGUCCCUUUAAGACGCUGUCCUACAUCAGAGACGUGACUCCACCCCAUCUAGUCCAUAACAAAGAGGGAAAGACAGGUUAGUUAUUGUCCAUUUAUCGUUAUUGAGGUGAACUGCUCAAUAUAACAUGAUAUUGAUUUGAGGCCAUAUCGCCCAGCUCUACUUAAAAAGUGUUUUCAGCUGUAACUUACAAAGUCCGGUCUACAUGAACUGUUUAACAAAAGCCAUGGUUUGUUGUUGUGGACCCAACAGUCGGCACAUGAGGCUCAAACGAAGCGUCAAUGUUGUGACAAGCUGAGUUUAUACAGCGACAUGUAUCUGAGGUUUUUUUCCUGGAGGAGACUUCUGCUCCUUUCUAAGUGUGACAGGUGAUUGACAGGCAGUGUAAUACAGAGCUGAUUAUGAAAACAUACACGGCACAGAAAAAAGGAUGAAAACUCAGACUGAACUAAAACAGCUCAUGACGGAUUAUGUCACUCAGGGGAGAGGCAGCGAGCGGCUGCUUGAGAGUGUUGGGUAAUGAGCUUUAAUAUCUCAUGAUAAGGAAGUAAAACAGUGAAGUGAGCUACAAGAGCGAAGUAAACAAAGACAAGCUGUCAUGGAGGUAGGAAGUGGUGCAGCGGAGGAAGAAGAGAGGAGAGGAGGAGUGGAUGAAUCUUGAAUAUUACGACGCCUGCAGACAAAGUCACAGCAGGUACACCCUCCUCUCUGCCUCCUUAAAUACACACUGUGGAUUUCUGACUGCAGAAAUGGAUAAACGAAUGCGUGAGAGUGGGAGUGAGCUCUUUUUUGUGUUGUGAGAGGUGCUUUAGCUCCCAAAAUCACACAGCGUUGUUAUUAGAAGAGCUGGCAUCCUCGCUGCCUGCUUCCUCUUUCCAACAGCGCUGAGCGAGCCGCACUGACAGCCAAAGAUCUCCACUGCUGGUACAAUAAAAACACAGUUGGAAAAUAUUUGGCCUGUUAGCUGCCAUCAAAGCUGCACUUGGCCGGAUAAAUCUGAAUCCCCCUCACAGACCUUCACCUCAUUAUGUAAAUCAGAACAUUUGUCUGGUACUGCUUUCCAGGAUCACUUUUUACUGAUAAUCCCAAUCAAAUCUGUCACACAAAAAAAAAUCAGUUCAAGGGAUGAGCCUGCAGAGAUUAUAGGAAGCAACAGUGUGGCUGCAGAUUGAGUCCACCUGACAGUCAUCAUCCUGGCCGACAAGGACAAACUCGCUGCAGUGGUUGAAAAAAGUUCAGCACAGAGAAACCUGCUGCAAAAAUGAGAAAUACAGCAAACUAAAACUCUGACUAGACUGCUGAUUGUUUCCCAAAUCGCUGCUAUGCUGAUGAUACCCGAUUAUAUCACUUCAACCCAUAGACUGUAUAUACUAUGGACAACUUGGCUCCGCCUUCCGUCAUUAUAUGAAUUUGAAGCCGAAUUGUUCUCAGUAUUUUCAGGAUUUUCUCCACUUUCUGGAACCACCACUUGCGCAGUAGCAUUGUACGAGAGUCACUGUGAUGACGCUCGGCUCAAACAGUGUAUCCCUUGGGUGAGCUACACAAUAUUCGCCCAUAGGCUGUAUCAAGUGUCAAUCAUUGAAAAUAGAACCCCCUAAUAAUUUGAAUCUUAACUGGAGUGGGACAGAAAAAAAGAGGACUUGAGCACAAACAAAUCUCACAGUAACUACAUGUCAACGUCAACAUCACAACCAGGGGGAGAAACAUUUAUAUUCUGUGUAAUUAAUUUUUCAAGUUUGUCCACAGCUCCAUAGGGAUUGCUGGAGGAGGCGGGAUUUAUGACCUAUACUGCAGCCCGUCACCAGGGGGUGCUGAUCUUGUGGUGGCUUCACCCAGCGAGGAGGCAGACGGCGUCCAUUCUAUAUACAGUCUAUGUUUCCACCUGAUGGCACAACUGUCUCAGCCUGAAAUUUCAUUACACCUGAGUGAAAUUUCAAAAUGGAUGACGGCUCAACUUGUCAAAGAGUGUAGACAUCCAGCUUGAAUCCAACAACAUUAUUGGAAUGUCAAUUAACAAAAUACUCUUAGUUUUGUCAAAUGCAAUGUAUUAAGGUUCCUUGGGCAUUGCUACAUUUAAAACAUUUAUCAGGUUUGUUGCUGUUGUAUUUAUUCAAUUUCACAGGGGUUACAUGAGUCUGCAUUCACCAGUUGUACUGAAGUAAUUUUAAGUCAGUGUUAGCUGUUUGAGUCUGGGAUUUCUCACAGGCUGUGUACCAACUAUCCUCCGGGAUGUUCUCCUUCAAGUCUCCAUGCCUCAAGUUUGGAUAAUGCAUUUUCCUUUGAACCAGAUGCAAUCCAAUUGUACCAUAAUGAAAUCAAACCUUUAAUGUUACAUUUCUUUGUAAUAUUUUCUUCUCAGGAUGAUAAAACUGGGAUAAGCAAAGAAUUGUUUUGAGCAGAGGAGAUAAAACUUCUCAGUUGUAGGUAUUUCCUUCACCUAUUUGCCCUCUUUAACAUCAGGAAUAACAGAGCCCACCAGACAGAGCGUGCAGCACAGCUCCUCAUACAGGCUUUGGUGAUAUCAUGACUACUGCAGGCCUCUUUACAUGCACAUGCAAACCUCUGUAGAUGAUCAAGAAUGCAGCAGUGAUCUUCAGCUAACCCAGAGCAGCACGUCACUCCCAGUUUGUCCCUCUCUCUGGCUCAGCCCACAUCAGAUGUAAAAUCCUACUUCUUGCCUGUGAACAGCAACAAAAAUGGCUCCUACUUACCUGAAAUCCUUCAUCCAGGUCUGCACUCGAUCCCACCCACAAGACCCUGAGUCACAAGACUCUUCUCUGUUGUUGAAUGGUCUAUUCAACUCAUUUUGCUCUGCAGAAUUCGUCUCUCUCUAUUUCUGAAGAACGUUUAGACCCAGAUCUUGGCGAGCUAGAAAUGAUGAUGAUUAUGAUACCGUAGUUUCAUGUGGACGAUCAUGGUUUUUUUAGUCGCUGUGGCGUUGAUGAGACGGACUGAAUUGCCUCGAGCACCUCCUGGCAGUUCUUGGUCUGCUUGUACUUAGAGCCGUCUGUGGGACUGGCACCUUCCCAUAAGAACCAGCUUUAACCUUUUUGAGCUCCAGUGGCUCUUCUGUCGGAUCAAACCCCAUGGGUCAGCCUUCAUUCCCUGUGCACACCAAUAAACAUUGGCCUCCCGAGACUUUGUCCAGUUUUCAUUCCAUGAACCACUUUUGGUGAGUCCUGAUCCCUGCAGAGUGUAAUCACCACAUAAGAGCUGCAGUUUCCCAGCAGCUCUUACUCAGAUGCUUUGCCACACUUGCUCGUUUUUGCUGCUCC